GUGCGUGGAUGCAGUGAUAGCAUGUAUUUGAUUGGCAAUGCGAUAGAUUUGGGAUACCUUCAGAACCCGUCUUGAAACACGGACCAAGAAGUCUAACAUGUGUGCGAGUCAUUGGGUAUUUUGUUGAAACCUAAGGGCGCAAUUAAAAUAACUAUUUUAUGGGAUUACAAGUGAAUUAAAUUUCAUUUCUUCAUCCCGGGGCGUUCUAUACGAACAUGGUUUGAGCAAUUGAAUCCUCUGUUCA
rnacentral:ncRNA from 1 species